GCCUUCGUGGUGUAGUGGUCAGUACACUCGACCCCGUAUUUGAGAGGUUUAUGGUUCGAGUCCUGGCGAGAGCA
rnacentral:tRNA from 1 species